CGGGUUCUCAAGCGUAGCAGAGUUUGACGGUCUCGGUGACUUUUGUUUCACAUUGCAUGCGGUUAAUUUGGCUACAUUUCAGCUGUGAGAAUGACAAAUAGCCCGUUCGACUGUCGCGUGACGAACGAUCUAAGAGCGGAGUUAAACAAAUUAUCCGGAGAUGCUGCUGCUGCUGCGCUGGCAGUGGUGCGCGCAAGCACACAUAGCAAAAAAGCAACUCUUAAUUUAGUUCUCAAAAAUGUGCUACAAAGAAGGGCCGUUGCCCAAAACGUCGCCUAUUACGCAUGUUAUUGUAAGGCCUCAGUAAUGUUGUUACAAUAGGAGAGCGUUGUGUGUGGCGAAGUCCACCACUCGGCCGUCUAAAGGGUAAAGAGGACGCAUGAAGGAUGCUUGAGAGGUGCCGGGUCACGAGGAUGACACGUGACAUGCUCUGUACAGUGCAUGCCUCGGUCUAUUUUCCGUCGUGCGAAUUAAAGCUGUUCAGGAAAAUCGCUACAUAGUAAAUUCAUUACAGCUUAUGUUAAUUACGCUUUUUUUUUCUCGCACAUAAAUUGCCCAGUACGCAGUUUAUAUGGGGCGAGGAGAUGAUAUUCUCCCUCGUCUGGUACGCAGGAGGUUCGAUCAAGGGCUCCGGCGAUGCUUGCUGUACAUUUGGAGUUCACGUGUUGUCUCUCUCUCUCUCUCUUGCCGACGUGGUCGCGUGGAUUGUUCUCCGGGCUCCUCCGGUGGUGCCCUCCACAUUUAGAUUCAACGCGCGUUGAGAUUAUUUGGCUGCUCCUCAUACGUUCCCGCGGGGGAUGAUGAUGAUGAUUCAGCCACUUUGAUGGAUGAGCUAUCACGCGUGGCCACGUCACCUCUGCACAAUAGCUCAAGUGGGCUUUAUCCGAUUCUCCUGCUGGUGACAGGGUCCUGGCUCGGGAUGUUUCCUCUGCCUUCUGGACACAGCGACCGAAACUCCUCUGCAGAAACAAGAGAUCCAUGGGCUCACUCGCACGGUGUGGAAUCGGUGCGGUUGCACCGCCUGCUGUUGCUCGUCGCGAGAACUCACCGCGACACCGCGUGCUGUCGACGGCCACGUAGCCCGCCGAGCAGCGGCACGUGUAGGAGCCGGCGACAUUCAGGCACUCGCCGCCCUGGCACCGACCGCCCUCUCCGCACUCGUCGAUGUCUGCACGAGGCCAAACGAUAGCGACAACGACGACGGCGGCGGUGAUGACCACCACCACCACCAACACCACCAACAACACCGCCGGUGCCACAGUGGCAGCAACAGGAGCCGGUCGCCGCCGACGCACCCGCAGACGGUUUAUACUCCGUCCGACGGACUCUGCACGAAUGUGAUAACUCCUGCUCGUCUCCUGCUCCUGACUCGACGGAUCGUCCACACGACGGAUCUUUUCGGAACGUGGGAGACGAAAAACUCCACUUGAAAUCUGGCACAGAGUCAACAUUCGACAUCGCCCGCCCAGCUCAACGUCCGUCAUUGCACAGCACUGGCCCUGAAGACCAGUAACAAAAAGUGGCCAAGAAAAGGCAGAGCACUCAUGACAGCACAGCAGAUGAGCGCUCCCAGGUUUUCUACAGAAACUCGAGAGCAGAGAUUGUGGGACAGAGCUCUACGGGCAAUCAACAGAGGGAACUAAUAACGAUAGCAGAUAAGACGACGCAUUUGUGGAAUUUAGCGAGGAUGGAAGACGUUGACGACUGUGGAAGGCGGUUCCAAAAUCGACCGACGCGUAGAGAGCAGGGGUAAGAGAAAUUGCCGUUGUCUGUUCCGCAAUAUCGCGGUUCACCACAGAGUGGAUGAGAGGAAACGGCCAAUCUAAAGGCACUCAAUGGACAGGCACCGGGUUACUUGUCAGAUCUUUUCUCUCCCUACCAGCCUCGGCGUGCGUUGAGGUCAGCUGACAGGCGUGACCCCUGCUCUGCAGUGGGAGGGUCGGACUCUGGAGGAACGGAGAGGCGGUGGCUCUCUCUGUGUUCGGGAGGCUGCCACCGUGGAACUCUGCCCGAUCGCGUCAGGAGCUCCGCCCCACAGUGGCGACUUUUAAAUCAAGGCUCAAGGCCUAGCCCUAUGAUUCAGCCCUCUGAAUGUAAUCAGGCAUCUCACGAGAUUACAAAAGGCGCCCUAUGAAUAAAGAUUUGAUUGUGUUGUUAUUGUGAGCGAGGAGAACGAGCCUUUGGCGAUUGACGGAGGUAUGUGGGCACAAGGUUCAUGGUAACACAUUUUAAACGAAACUAUUUUUUUUAUUUUACCAGGUAAGGCCCAACUGAGCUAUAUAGCUCUUUUUCAAAAGCCAGCUGGCCACA